UUGAACGCUGGCGGCAUGCUUUACACAUGCAAGUCGAACGGUAACAGGUCUUCGGAUGCUGACGAGUGGCGAACGGGUGAGUAAUACAUCGGAACGUGCCUAGUAGUGGGGGAUAACUACUCGAAAGAGUAGCUAAUACCGCAUGAGAUCUACGGAUGAAAGCAGGGGACCUUCGGGCCUUGUGCUACUAGAGCGGCUGAUGGCAGAUUAGGUAGUUGGUGGGGUAAAGGCUUACCAAGCCUGCGAUCUGUAGCUGGUCUGAGAGGACGACCAGCCACACUGGGACAGAGACACGACCAAGACUCCUGCGGGAGGCAGCAGUGGGGACUUUUGGACGAUGGGCGAAAGCGUGAGCGGACAAUGCCGCGAGAAGGAUGAAGGCCCUGGGGUUGUAGACUGCUUGUGUAAGGAACGAAAAGCCUGGGGCGGAAUGCCCCGGGUCAUGACGGUACCGUAAGAAUAAGCACCGGCUAACUACGUG
rnacentral:rRNA from 1 species